rnacentral:rRNA from 1 species
AAGGUAGCAUAAUCAUUAGUUUYUUAAUUGGAAGCUGGAAUGAAAGGUUGGAUGAGAAAAUAACUGUCUCUAUUUAAGUUUAUUAGAAUUUUAUUUUUAAGUAAAAAAGCUUAAAUAAUAAUUGAAGACGAGAAGACCCUAUAGAGUUUUAUAAAUAUAGUUAUUUAAAAUUUUAGUAUUAUAAAAGUUAAUAGCUUAUUUUAUUUGAUUGGGGUGAUUGAAAAAUUUAAUAAACUUUUUCUUUAUAGAAACAUUAAUUUAUGAUUAAUUGAUCCUUUUUUUAAGAUUAUAAGAUAAAAUUAC